UCCCAUUUUUGCUGAACAGUCCCCGAAGCUCUCUCUUCUCCCUCCUCUCCAUCGUGAUUUUCUUCUUUCUCUGGGCUCUCCUUUGUCCGGCCAUAUCUCCCUCCACAGACCUCUGAUCGACUUGAUUCCAAAAGAAAUUUCAUUCGCCUUGAAGUCAGUUAAAACUUCCUAGAAGACAUCAAGGUGAGAAAAGAACCGUGGAACGCGCUAGGAGGCCGAGAAGCUGCACAGCUCGAGCUGGAAUUCACCGAUGCUGCUCUUCCUUAACCGGCCGAUAUCUCUCUCAUCCGACCUCGAAUCGAGUUGAUUCCAAAAGGGAUUUUUCUGGGAUUGAGCUAUAUUACAACUUUGUGGAAGACAUCGAGGGGAAAUAACCAACGUGGUAGCAGCUACAAGUCGAAGAACACGGUGCAGUCGAGCUGGAAAUCACCUCUUUUCCCCACCAUCGUUCUCCCUCCUCCGGCCACCUUUUACCGUGAUUCUUGAGGGGAUUCUUCACUUCUGAGGAUGUAGAUCAUUUUCCCUAAGGUGGAUUGCAUCGAUUUCAUCUGUGGAGAUCGAAUUGGAACGAAUUCAAAACUAGGGUUCAUCGGAUCCGUUGGCUUCUAAGGUGGGUGACGGUUUGAGUUGACGAGCGUUUGGAAUAUCGUUAUAUUUGACUUUUUAGAAGACGCAGCUGGAUUAGAGGGAACUCUUCAUUUGAUUCUGGUUGCUAACACCCUUCUCAACUGCAUUGCGUUUAUUAUCACCAACAACCGCUGCAAAUGAAGGUGGAGAUUGAUCGGAGUCAGAAAGGACAGCUAAUUGUAGCUGUGAUUUCACUCCUGACCAUAAAAGUUGCAGAGAUAGUGAUUCAAUCAGUUACUAGAACAAAUUGAUUAGUUAGCUUAAAUUCUUUUGUGAUAAAGUUGGAUGUUUCUGUUGGGAAAUUUAAAAUUCUUGUUAAAUUGAUUGUCUUAUCCCGAUUUAUGGAGAUUGUUAUUAAUACUGGAAUGAAAUAUACCACUGGGAUUACUGUAUAUGUAUUAUUUACUCAGGUGUUUAGUACUGGAAUUGUGAAGACUUCUGCUACAGGCCAA